UACGUAGGGUGCGAGCGUUGUCCGGAAUUACUGGGCGUAAAGAGCUCGUAGGUGGUUUGUCGCGUUUGUUCGUGAAAACCUGAGGCUUAACCUUGGGCGUGCGGGCGAUACGGGCAGACUGGAGUACUGCAGGGGAGACUGGAAUUCCUGGUGUAGCGGUGGAAUGCGCAGAUAUCAGGAGGAACACCGGUGGCGAAGGCGGGUCUCUGGGCCGAAUGACUGACGCUGGAGUGACGACGAA
rnacentral:rRNA from 1 species